rnacentral:tRNA from 2 species
GCAGGGAUGGCGGAAUUGGUAGACGCACUAUCUUGAGGGGGUAGCGGUCAUAGACCAUGAGAGUUCGAGUCUCUUUCCCUGCACCA